UGGAGGGUGGCUCAGUCGGUAGAGCGUUAGACUCUUAAUCUCAGGGUCGUGGGUUUGAGCUCCAUGGAGGGCAAAA